GAUGAAGAACGUAGCGAAAUGCGAUAAGUAAUGUGAAUUGCAGAAUUCAGUGAAUCAUCGAAUCUUUGAACGCACCUUGCGCUCUUUGGUAUUCCGAAGAGCAUGCCUGUUUGAGUGUCAUGAAAAUAUCAACCUUGACUUGGGUUUUGUGCUCUAGUCUCGGCUUGGAAUUGGGUGCUUGCCGCUUUUACGAGCGGCUCACCUUAAAUGUAUUAGCUGGAUCUGUCUUUGAGACUUGGUUUGACUUGGCGUAAUAAGUAUGUCGCUAUGACAUUCUUCGGAGUGGCCUCGUUUCUAGGACGCUUGUCCGCUUUUCAAUACAAGUUCCACCUCGUGGACAUGACUUUUUAUUAUCUGGCCUCAAAUCAGGUAGGACUACCCGCUGAACUUAAGCAUAUCAAUAAGCGGAGGA
rnacentral:misc_RNA from 1 species